rnacentral:rRNA from 1 species
UACGGAGGGUGCGAGCGUUGUCCGGAAUCAUUGGGCGUAAAGGGCGCGUAGGUGGCCCGGUAAGCGGGUGGUGAAAGCUCGGGGCUCAACCCCGAGUCGGCCAUGCGAACUGCUGGGCUUGAGCACUGUAGAGGCAGGCGGAAUUCCGGGUGUAGCGGUGGAAUGCGUAGAGAUCCGGAAGAACACCGGUGGCGAAGGCGGCCUGCUGGGCGAGUUGCUGACACUGAGGCGCGACAGCGUGGGGAGCAAACAGGAUAGAAACCCC